GGAUGUGCAGGUGAUCUGGCUGUGACACUUGUCACCCCAUUGAUUGCUAGGGUUGAUUCUGCUGAUCUGGCUGGCAAGGUAGAUGUCCUCCCUCAAUGUUCCAUGUGCUUCCACCCUUGAAGCUGCACCUUCAGUCGAAGACGACGACCACCCCCAAUAGAGGAGGACCGUUCCUCUGUCAAGGGUAUACAAGUAGCUGAGCUCCCCUGCUAGAACCUCCAAACAAGCUCUCAAAAUAAAUUGAAGAAAUAAAUAACAAUACAUUUAAAAAUAAAUCGGUGUAUAAAAACUGGAUUUAUAUACAAGUUUU
rnacentral:snRNA from 1 species